GAGCGAGUACAGCGGCACACGGGUGAGUAACACGUAGGUAAUCUGCCCUCGAGCCUGGAAUAACCUACCGAAAGGUGGGCUAAUACCGGAUAUGACCACGGAAGUUUCGGCUUCUGCGGUGAAAGGUGGCCUCUACUUGUAAGCUACCACUCAAGGAUGAGCCUGCGUACCAUUAGCUAGUUGGUGGGGUAAUGGCUCACCAAGGCUAUGAUGGUUAGCUGGUCUGAGAGGAUGGCCAGCCACACUGGGACUGAAACACGGCCCAGACUCCUACGGGAGGCAGCAGUGGGGGAUAUUGCGCAAUGGGCGAAAGCCUGACGCAGCGACGUCGCGUGGGUGAUGAAGGCCUUCGGGUCGUAAAGCCCUGUCGAGGGGGAAGAAUCGGUUGCGACCUAACACGUCGUGAUCCUGACGGUACCCCUAAAGGAAGCACCGGCUAACUCCGUGCCAGCAGCCGCGGUAAUACGGAGGGUGCGAGCGUUGUUCGGAAUCACUGGGCGUAAAGCGCGUGUAGGCGGCCCACUAAGUCUGAUGUGAAAGCCCGGGGCUCACCCCCGGAAGUGCAUUGGAAACUGGUGGACUCGAGUCCCGGAGAGGAGAGUGGAAUUCCUGGUGUAGCGGUGAAAUGCGUAGAUAUCAGGAGGAACACCGGUGGCGAAGGCGGCUCUCUGGACGGUGACUGACGCUGAGACGCGAAAGCGUGGGGAGCAAACAGGAUUAGAUACCCUGGUAGUCCACGCCGUAAACGAUGAGCACUAGGUGUCGCGGGUAUUGACCCCUGCGGUGCCGACGCUAACGCAUUAAGUGCUCCGCCUGGGGAAUACGGCCGCAAGGU
rnacentral:rRNA from 1 species